rnacentral:tRNA from 1 species
UGGCUCAGCGGUUAAAAGCACUGGACUNCUCUUCCAGAGGUCCUGAGUUCAAUUCCCAG